rnacentral:rRNA from 1 species
AUGAACGCUAGCUACAGGCUUAACACAUGCAAGUCGAGGGGCAGCAUGAACUUAGCUUGCUAAGUUUGAUGGCGACCGGCGCACGGGUGAGUAACACGUAUCCAACCUGCCGAUGACUCGGGGAUAGCCUUUCGAAAGAAAGAUUAAUACCCGAUGGCAUAGUUCUUCCGCAUGGUAGAACUAUUAAAGAAUUUCGGUCAUCGAUGGGGAUGCGUUCCAUUAGGUUGUUGGCGGGGUAACGGCCCACCAAGCCUUCGAUGGAUAGGGGUUCUGAGAGGAAGGUCCCCCACAUUGGAACUGAGACACGGUCCAAACUCCUACGGGAGGCAGCAGUGAGGAAUAUUGGUCAAUGGACGAGAGUCUGAACCAGCCAAGUAGCGUGAAGGAUGACUGCCCUAUGGGUUGUAAACUUCUUUUAUACGGGAAUAAAGUGAGGCACGUGUGCCUUUUUGUAUGUACCGUAUGAAUAAGGAUCGGCUAACUCCGUGCCAGCAGCCGCGGUAAUACGGAGGAUCCGAGCGUUAUCCGGAUUUAUUGGGUUUAAAGGGAGCGUAGGCGGACGCUUAAGUCAGUUGUGAAAGUUUGCGGCUCAACCGUAAAAUUGCAGUUGAUACUGGGUGUCUUGAGUACAGUAGAGGCAGGCGGAAUUCGUGGUGUAGCGGUGAAAUGCUUAGAUAUCACGAAGAACUCCGAUUGCGAAGGCAGCCUGCUGGACUGUAACUGACGCUGAUGCUCGAAAGUGUGGGUAUCAAACAGGAUUAGAUACCCUGGUAGUCCACACAGUAAACGAUGAAUACUCGCUGUUUGCGAUAUACAGUAAGCGGCCAAGCGAAAGCGUUAAGUAUUCCACCUGGGGAGUACGCCGGCAACGGUGAAACUCAAAGGAAUUGACGGGGGCCCGCACAAGCGGAGGAACAUGUGGUUUAAUUCGAUGAUACGCGAGGAACCUUACCCGGGCUUGAAUUGCAACUGAAUGAUGUGGAGACAUGUCAGCCGCAAGGCAGUUGUGAAGGUGCUGCAUGGUUGUCGUCAGCUCGUGCCGUGAGGUGUCGGCUUAAGUGCCAUAACGAGCGCAACCCUUAUCGAUAGUUACCAUCAGGUUAUGCUGGGGACUCUGUCGAGACUGCCGUCGUAAGAUGUGAGGAAGGUGGGGAUGACGUCAAAUCAUCAUGCCCUUUAUGACCUGGGCUACACACGUACUACAAUGGCGUUUAACAAAGAGAAGCAAGACCGCGAGGUGGAGCAAAACUCAGAAACAACGUCUCAGUUCAGAUUGCAGGCUGCAACUCGCCUGCAUGAAGUCGGAAUUGCUAGUAAUCGCGGAUCAGCAUGCCGCGGUGAAUACGUUCCCGGGCCUUGUACACACCGCCCGUCACACCACGAAAGUUGGUAACACCCGAAGCCGGUGAGGUAACCUAUUAGGAGCCAGCCGUCUAAGGUGGGGCCGAUGAUUGGGGUG